AAUUCUCAACCUUGCUCGCUUUUACCGGCUUGAGUGAGGCUUGGAUGUGAGGGUUUUUGCUGGCUUCCUUCAGUGGAUGGUCUGCUCCCUUUAAAUGCAUUAGUGGGGUCUAUUGUGGACCGUCACUUGGUGUGAUAAUAUAUCUAUGCCUUGUUUGACUCCAUAAUUUUUUGGAACCUGCUUCUAACCGUCUCGCAAGAGACAAUACACUUUGACUAU
rnacentral:misc_RNA from 1 species